GCUCACUCAAAAAUAGAAAUAAGGAACCCAUUCCAAAUUAUAAAAAUUUCUUACAACAUAUAAGUAAUCCAACGUUACAAGCGACCAUAGCGACAUAUUAAUAAAAAUUACAAAUACAAUCUCAAACCACCCGCAAAUAUAAACCAAACUACUUAAUAAAAUAGCCCGUAACUUCAACACACAGCCCCCUCUCUCCCUUCAUUAUUAUACUCAAACCCUAGUAAAACCCUUACCGAACAAAACGCACAAGCACGUAAAUGCUAAUCACACUGGAGUAGACUCCUUCACCUCCUCCACCUUACCUUCCUCUACCGGAGCUGCAGCUUCCGCAGCAGCUGGCUCUUCAACUGCUGCCGGCGCUGCAGCUGGCUCUUCAACAGCUGCCGCAGCAGCCUCUGGUUCUGCUGCCGGAGCUUCGGGUGCUACUUCUUUCGGUGUCUCUUCCACAACUGCCUCCGCUGCUGGUUCAGGUGUAGCUUCCGGUUCUACCACAUCAGCCGCCUCUUCGGCCUUCUUAACUUCUACUGUCGGCUCCUCUGCUGCAGGCGCUGGCACCUCUUCUACGGUUGCCUCCGCGGCUUCCACUGCAGCCUUUUCUGUAACCGGUGCGGACGCCGGUACAGUUUCCACCGGGACUGGAGCAGAUUCCACCUCUACUGAUGCCAUUCGGAAUAUCGAACAGAGGGAGGAAUCCGAAUCAAAGA
rnacentral:misc_RNA from 1 species